UCUCUGCCCCUCCCUCACACUCUGUCUCUCUGUCUCUCUCUCUCUUAAAAAUAAACAUUAAAAAAAAAUUUUUUUAAGGCUAAAUAACUGUCCAUCAUCACACAGCUAGAGGGCGUCAGAACUAGAAGCAAGGGCCCUUAACCACUACUCAAUCUGAGAGUAUUUCCAUACCUAUUGAGCCGCUAAUGCUGCGUGUGCGUGCAUGCAUAAUAGUGCGCGUGCGUGGGCACGUGCCUGCGUGUGGGGUUUGGGGUUUAAUGAGCCUGAAUUAACCGGGAAGUAAAAGCGGCACCACAACCAAGAGUUAGUAUUGAUUCUUCUGGAGCUCUAACUAUCAAAAGAAACUAAAGAUAUUUUUUCUGAGGUUUUGUCCUGUAAAACUGGCCAGAGGAAAAAAAUCAGGCUUCACAAAUUGUCAGUUUCUGAGUGUCGAGGAAUUGGUCCCAAGUGGGCAAGUUUGGUGGCAGCAGGCAUAGAGAGUUACUCUUAAUGAGACAACCCAAUCAAGCAAUACCACAAAGGCCUCUGAUGACACUGGCUGCUAUGAGGAUAAUGUGUUGUACGGGACAGAGAACAGUGGAGAUUCCAGAAACAGGAGGGACAAAAAGAUAAACCAGAAGCUGGUGGUGGCGGCAUUUGAGGUUAGAGUCUGAGCUUCAUCUUUUCUCCUUAUACUCUUUUAAAUUUCUUUGUAUUAGAUGUGCAUUCCUUUCAAACUAGCAAAUCACCCCAGGUUUGCUGGUUUCUGUAACUGGUUCUACUAGUCUUGUUGUAAUAAUUGGUUCUAUUAUUGGUUCUAUAAUUCUGAAUACAUAUAAUCUCUAAGGACAUCAGUUUAGUUUCUGUAAAAUGAUGAAUGAGAUGAUCAUUUUCUAGCUUUAAUAAUUGUUAUAUUUUCUUAUGCAUUAUGACUUUGUUACUUCCCCAACUAGAACACACAGGAGAUUGAUAAAAUUACUGAAAUAUUUGCAAUCGUAAGACUGCCAAUGAAAUUUAUUUAUACUCUUGUCACCACAAAGGACAAGUCAGUCCUUUUAAAAUGACCCAUUUGGGGCGCCUGGGUGGCUCAGUCGGUUGAACGUCCAACUUCGGCUCAGGUCAUGAUCUCGUG